AUUGAACGCUGGCGGAAUGCUUUACACAUGCAAGCCGAACGGCAGCACGGGGCAACCUGGUGGCGAGUGGCGAACGGGUGAGUAAUACAUCGGAACAUGCCCAAUCGUGGGGGAUAACGUAGCGAAAGUUACGCUAAUACCGCAUACGAUCUACGGAUGAAAGCGGGGGAUCGCAAGACCUCGCGCGAGUGGAGCGGCCGAUGUCAGAUUAGGUAGUUGGUGGGGUAAAGGCUCACCAAGCCAACGAUCUGUAGCUGGUCUGAGAGGACGACCAGCCACACUGGAACUGAGACACGGUCCAGACUCCUACGGGAGGCAGCAGUGGGGAAUUUUGGACAAUGGGCGCAAGCCUGAUCCAGCCAUUCCGCGUGCAGGAUGAAGGCCUUCGGGUUGUAAACUGCUUUUGUACGGAACGAAACGGCGAGCUCUAAUACAGUUUGCUAAUGACGGUACCGUAAGAAUAAGCACCGGCUAACUACGUGCCAGCCGCCGCGGUAAAACCCCG
rnacentral:rRNA from 1 species